GCCAGGUGCCGUGGUGGCUGUCUGUAGUCCCAGCUAUUCGGGAGGCUGAGGCGGGAGGAUCACUUGAGCCCAGGAGUUCUGGGCUGUAGUGCGCUAUGACGAUCGGGUGUCCACACUAAGUUCGGCAUCAAUAUGGUGACCUCCCGGGAGCAGGGAACCACCAGGACACCAGGAUGCUUAAGGAGGGGUGAACCAGCCCAGGUCGGAAAUGGAGCAGGUCAAAACUCCUAUGCUGUUCAGUAGUGGAAUUGUGCCUGUGAAUAGCCACUGCACUCCAGCCUGGGCAACGCAGCGAGACCCUGUCUCAA
ensembl:misc_RNA Metazoa_SRP Metazoan signal recognition particle RNA